rnacentral:rRNA from 1 species
CAAGUCUUGACAUCCCUCUGAAACCUCUAGAGAUAGAGGCGGCCUUCGGGACAGAGGUGACAGGUGCUGCAUGGCUGUCGUCAGCUCGUGUCGUGAGAUGUUGGGUUAGGUCCCGCAACGAGCGCAACCCUUGUCCUUAGUUACCAGCACGUAAUGGUGGGCACUCUAAGGAGACUGCCGGUGACAAACCGGAGGAAGGUGGGGAUGACGUCAAGUCCUCAUGGCCCUUAUGUGUAGGGCUUCACACGUCAUACAAUGGUACAUACAGAGGGCCGCCAACCCGCGAGGGGGAGCUAAUCCCAGAAAGUGUAUCGUAGUCCGGAUCGCAGUCUGCAACUCGACUGCGUGAAGUUGGAAUCGCUAGUAAUCGCGGAUCAGCACGCCGCGGUGAAUACGUUCCC